UACGGGGGGGGCAAGCGUUGUUCGGAAUUACUGGGCGUAAAGGGCGCGUAGGCGGUUCGCUAAGUUGGAUGUGAAAACUCUGGGCUCAACCCAGAGCCUGCAUCCAAAACUGGCGGGCUAGAGUUCUGGAGGGGGUAGCGGAAUUCCUGGUGUAGCGGUGAAAUGCGUAGAUAUCAGGAGGAACACCGGUGGCGAAGGCGGCUACCUGGACAGAAACUGACGCUGAGGCGCGAAAGCAUGGGGAGCAAAAGGG
rnacentral:rRNA from 1 species